rnacentral:rRNA from 1 species
GACGAACGCUGGCGGCGUGCUUAACACAUGCAAGUCGAACGGAAAGGCCCUGGUUUGGUGGGCUGCUCGAGUGGCGAACGGGUGAGUAACACGUGAGUAACCUGCCCCUGACUCUGGGAUAACUUCAGGAAACUGGGGCUAAUACCGGAUAGGAGCUCCUGCUGCAUGGUGGGGGUUGGAAAGUUUCGGCGGUUGGGGAUGGACUCGCGGCCUAUCAGCUUGUUGGUGGGGUAGUGGCUUACCAAGGCUUCGACGGGUAGCCGGCCUGAGAGGGUGACCGGCCACAUUGGGACUGAGAUACGGCCCAGACUCCUACGGGAGGCAGCAGUGGGGAAUAUUGCACAAUGGGCGGAAGCCUGAUGCAGCAACGCCGCGUGCGGGAUGACGGCCUUCGGGUUGUAAACCGCUUUCGGCUGUGACGAAGCGUAAGUGGCGGUAAUGGGUGAAGAAGCACCGGCUAACUACGUG